GUUUUGCUGGACCUGAUUCUUCCGGUGGAACUGGGAAUGGCGCCUAGGUCGUCUAUGUUCAAGGAAACUGCUACAACCCUUCAAAAUAGCACUUUUCAAAAUGAUGGGGCCUUGGCUAACAACUUCACAUUACCCAAGAAAGUCCGAGCCAGCGGUCAAAUCACUGCCUUCCUCAAUCACUCGCUAAUGCCAGCAGAAUGAGUGCUUUUCUGGCGCUGGGCUCCACCCCACAGAGACGGGAGGAAAUGACUGCAGAACCUUUGUAAGCCCUGGAUGUGGUAUCAAAUGGAAGGUUUCCCCGGGAAGAAACGUCGCGAAGGUUGCAGGGUGUGUGGGAGAGGGAUUUGACAGCAAGACGCCUCUCUCGCCUCACCAUGCUCUAUGCUGAUGUUGGCUCGUAGCAGCUCAAAAAGCCUGAUACAUCUUUGAAAAUUUUGUGAGAUGGUUAGACCAUCAUUGCUAAACAAAUUUACAAUUAAAUCAGUCUA